UUUCCUACGGGGGGCAGCAGUGGGGAAUAUUGCACAAUGGGGGAAACCCUGAUGCAGCAACGCCGCGUGAGUGAGGAAGUAUUUCGGUAUGUAAAGCUCUAUCAGCAGGGAAUAGAAAAGAAGGUACCUGAAAAAGAAGCCCCGGCUAACUACGUGCCAGCAGCCGCGGUAAUACGUAGGGAGCGAGCGUUGUCCGGAUUUACUGGGUGUAAAGGGUGCGUAGGCGGCUUGGCAAGUCAGUAGUGAAAUCCAUGGGCUUAACCCAUGAACUGCUAUUGAAACUGUCGAGCUUGAGUGAAGUAGAG
rnacentral:rRNA from 1 species